AAAAAAAGGAAAAAGAAAAAGAAGAAAGAGAAAGAAACGAGAGAGAGAAAAAAUGUGAUACAACUUUUGUGUGAAAAAGAAAUGAGUGAGAAAUAAUUAAAACAAAAUUGUAACAUAUCACAUGGUGCUAUAACAACCUGCAUGUUCCGAAAUGGGAAAGAAUAAGUGGUUGAGACAAUGUCACGUGGUGCUGCACAACGUACUAAUUUGGUUGUAAUAUUGGAAGUAUUCAUCAUCAU
rnacentral:lncRNA from 1 species